CUCUUCUUGGUGGGGACAGCUGUGCUGUUCUUCCUGUUAUGUACAGGAAAGGGCUCCAGCCCCUGUGGUCAUGUCAUUGAUGCUGCAGCUUUCUGUCCACAGAUUUUAUUUUCAAGUAGCAAGAUACAU